rnacentral:lncRNA from 1 species
UUUUUUUUUUUUUUAGUGACUUUGCAAACUGCUCCUUUUCAUGUCAGGAGAGGGGUGUGUUGUAGCAGAAGAAAGGUUAGGUCAAUUUGGUUAAGGAACCUAAGGCAUCCUGGACAGGAAGAAACCCAAACCAUAAAGCCUUAGGAAAUGACUCUGUAGAACCUGGACUUUAAGUAGUACAUUUUGGGGCUUGGCUGAUAAAGUUAUGAAACUAAUGCUUGAUUAUAACACAUGAAACUUCCUUCCCUCAAAACACUGAGAGGGUCUGUAUCAAACUGUGGAGUAGUUUCCCCACUCAAGGAUUGCUGCAUCUUCCUACUGGUCCAGCUUUCAACUACAGGCAUACUUCUGUCUCAAUAGCACCACGCCUGUGAAGAGCUGACCUAUAACCACUCAUUGGUACAUUCACAUCUAGCAACACCAAUCAACUAGAGGCGAAUGUUGUGCUAUCCCUGUAUGGGAAAGUGACGACACUGGAACUUUCUCCCAUCUCCAUCACUCAGGAGUGCCAUUACCUGGGCUAGUGCUUGAAUCGGAAUGAAAAGAGCUUUUGUCAAAGGGAUUGGCCUGUUCAGUUGGUGUCUUAGUCCGUUCAGGGCUGCUACCACAAAAUAUCACAGACCAGAUGGCUUAUAAACAUCAAACAUUUAUUUCUCACAGUUCUGGAGGCUGAAAGUCCAAGAUUAGGGUGCCAACAUGGUCAGGUGAGGACCUUCUUCUGGGUGGCAGACUUCUUGUUUUAUCCUCACAUGGCAGAAGGUGGGGGAGGCAGCUCUCUGAAGCUUCUUUUAUAAGGGCACUAAUCCCACUCAUGAGGGCUGUGCUCUUAUGAUCUAAUCACCUCCCAAAGUCCCUACCUCCUAAUACCAUCACCUUGGUGGUUUGGUUCCAACAUAUGAAUUUUGGAGGGACACAAACACUGAGACCAUAGCAGUUGGGAAUCACCUACCCUGAGUUUAAUCCUGGGGUAUGAGUGAACCCUAGAAGACCCUCUACCAAUGGGUAAAGAAGGCACCCUAGCCUCUGUGGCCACUGCAAAGCCAGGGAAUUUACACAGCUCUGAGUUUGAGACAUGACCUGCAGGACCAGCUUCUUCUUUGACCUGCAUCACAAUUCAUGAAUUUAUGUAGGAUGGAGUUAGACUGGAUUCUUUGCUGUCAAGAUGCUGCUAGGUACUCGGAAUUUCUGGGUACAUAUGGCAAAAGGAUUAGAGCACUGGGGGUAUGGGUAAGAGUCUGGAUCUCUGAAUUGGCUGUUUCUAUUAGCUGGUGGAAGUUUUGGUGUUUUAUUCAGGGGAUUCCUUGGAGUUAAAUUCUUUGCAUCCCAAACUGUGUCAAAAGAUAUUCUAGUUACACCUUCAUAAAGCAAUAUAUGAUAUAAAGAAUGGAACGAUAAUUUAAUUAAUGAAGAAAUUAUUGCUGCAUUUCAUAUUAUUGCCUAUAAAUACAAUAGGGAUGAAAAGAAUGAAAUAAUCGGUAUGUAAUACAAGAGCCAUAGAGAAAUUAGACUUGACAUGGACAUUGAACAUAGAGUAACGGAUAACAGAAUUUUUGUUUUGGGAUUUAUUUUAUUGUUUAUUUGUUUGUUUUUGGCUCUUCGGAAUCCAAACAUCCUUCUGGUUUUAGAGGAAUACCAUAGUGUGUAUCUUGUGCCCUACUUCCCAUUAAGGAAGCCAAAGGGACCAACUUCCACUUCAAGGAAGCUAAGGAGAUACAGACAAUAUAACCUAGGCUUAGCCAAGAAGACUAUUCCAAACAAAAAUCUGAAGCUUGAAGAAAUGAGGCAAAUAAUGCAGGAAGAUUUGGGAAAUUACUCAUGGUGGUGUCAACAACACUGAGAGUUCAGCGCAGCCCUGAAAGUAUCAGCACCCUAACCUGUACUGUGUAUGAGGCUGUGCUCCCUGAUGCCCGGCCCUCCUCAGUUCCCAUCCACUGCCAUUGCAUAACGCACUAGCCUUCACCUUCAUGCUGUAUUCUACUCUACAACCUUUCACAUAAAGCCUAUUUAUGUCCAUCAGCCAGAUUCCAUUUCUACCGCUUGCAAAAAAGAACUCUGACUAAUGCGAGUAGAGAGGAUAUGGACAGGAACUGAGAAGGCAUCUCAGGCGAGUGGAGCAAUGAACAAAGGUAUAAAAUAGCAUGAUGUGUCUGGGAGACUCUAAUGAGACAUCUAGGACUGCCGAGGGAAAAAAAUCCAUGAAACAUUUGGAAGGCAGACAGCAAGGACAAUUCUAGGACAGAGUAAACAGUACAUAUCAGGAAGUGGAGUUAAAUAAUAAUGACUAGCCUCCUACUCUUUUAUUCUUUUAUCCCUCAAAUAAAUUAUUUGUUGAGUUCUUGCUAUAUGUCAACAACUUUUGUUGGCUCUGGGCAUAUCAAGAUAAAAAGGGCAAAAUACAGGCUGUCAAGGAGACACUAGUCUUUCACAGUGCGGUAACAGAUUUCAGGAUACAAAUUCCUUUUAUUUCUCAAUGUGACCAUUUAGAUAACUCUCUCUCUCUAGAGCUAAUUAUUGCCACUAGUUUAUCAAUUUUAAAAAUUGACGGAAAUAGAAAUUCUUAAGUAAUAUUUCCAAUAUCAUCUAAUCCUAGAAGAAUGAAAGUAAGAGCUUUUGAGUCCUGUAAGACUACAUACCUAUUUGUUAGUUAUGGUUAAUUAAUAUGAGUUUACUGUGAAAUAAUGUAGUACAGAAAAUAGGGAAGUGGAAAAUCUACAAAUGAUAGCAGAAAGGCUGGUGUCACCAAUGUCUGCCUGGCUAGUUACCACUUGACCCAGCUGUCCCUAGGCACUUAUCAAUUUGGAUUCUCAGAAAGCCCUUAUUCCUGGAAUACACAGGCCUGGAUUAAAAUUCUAUUGCCACAAUUCUGAUAGUCUUCUUGGGACUGGAAUCAAAUAGAACAGGAAGUUUAAAGCACAAACUAGUGAAAACUCACUCACCAAUCAGAAGAGGAAGACAACAAAAUUUAUCUCUUGUGACCAAAAGGACAUAGAUAACUCACCUUUUUUUCCAAAUCUCCCAUUACUGCAAGGGAAGAAAAGAACUAGGAAGACAUGCACUAGGCUAUAAAAUAAAAUUAUAAGAUGCGGAGCUGAGCAAUAACUCUAGUCCAUGGAAGACUCACAGGGGCUUACUUACAGAGCACUGAUGAGGAGAUUAUCCAAAACUAGUCCUCACUCACAGAUGGAUGUCACAGUCGGAUGGCUUCCUAACCCAUGUGGUCUUCUAUCACUCCAUCAGCAUAAUUACUGGAGCUCCUGUUUCCUGAAGACUAUUUAUAUGGUGGUGUGUUGUGGUGAAGUGAAAUUAAUUAGCUAGGGAGGAGCUUCUCCUCUAGGGUGCCCCUGUUACAUACCUGUUUCAGGUAUGUCAAGAUACUGAUCUCCUUAACCCUAGGAUUUACCACAUAGGGCCUAGAGGCCUAGAGUAGUCAGUCAUAGGACCCCUCAUGUUCACUGCAAGCAGACAAUUUGCCUCAAUAUUUUAUGAAAAUAUUAUUUUCUCUGUUUGACAAAAUGUGAACAAGAAUGGGAAGCACUAGGUAGAAUCAACACUCACUAGCCUCUCUAAAUUAAGAACUCUGGGAGAGUCCGGUGGCACAAUCCAGUCAGUAUCCACACAGACCUCAAUAGACCUCUGCCAGAGAGAGCUAACUGAGGCCUGGCCUCCCCGAUGGCAGCUGCAGAGCAGGAGUGCUCGUGGGCAGAGAAUCACUACAUGUCCUAUGGCCAGGUUUGCAAGUGCCAGCACAUGGAGUACCACCUCUGCAGCCAGAGAAUGGCUCAAACUUCCAAUAAGGGAAUUAAUCUGUCUGAAUUUCAGACUCCAGACAUAGUGAAGGGGCAGAGGUACGACGGAACCUGGUUUCAUAUUUGGGGUGUCAGUUUGUGUGCUUGGUUUGGAGGGAACAAUUUAAGGCCCUUUAUUUCUUCAUCCACAUAUCUGUUACUCUUAAAGACAAACAGGCGGAGAAGCAUAUCAAUGGAAUACUAUAGGAGUACUUUUAAUGCUAUAACUUUUAUUGAAACUCCACAGGUCCUUGUACCUAACUAUCAACCUCAAAUUAAUCAAAAGAAUACCCACCACCACUAGGACCAGGAAUGUACUCUGAUAUGCCCUUCCCAAAAAAUGGUAUUAAGGAACAUGAUGACUUAUAACUGGCACUGGGAGAAGACAUCCACUGAGCAAUUCCAUUUUACUCUUCUGAAAACCUAACAACCUAUAUUCACCCCUCCCCCCAUUUAUAUUGGAAACUGGAAAACUGAUGGGUGAGAAUGUUGGAAGAUGCUGUCAAUCCCAUGGCAAGACCUUUACACUCUUUUAUUACCUUCCUGAACAAAGGGACACCCCAUAGGGAAACCAAGCUACAAGGUGGUCAGCAGUAUUCCAGGAUCUUGGAUUGGAUCCACCUAUCUUGGUAAGGUACAUCUCUUCCUUUCUUUUUUUUUUUCUUUUGAGGAAGAUUAGCCUUGAGCUAACUACUGCCAAUCCUCCUCUUUUUGCUGAGGAAGACUGGCCCUGAGCUAACAUCCAUGCCCAUCUUCCUCUACUUUAUAUGUGCGAUGCCUACCACAGCAUGGCUUUUGCCAAGUGGUGCCAUGUCCGUACCUGGCAUCCGAACCAGCAAACCCCUGGCCGCUGAGAAGUGGAACAUGCGAACUUAACCGCUGCACCACCGGGCCAGCCCCGGUACAUCUCUUUAUUUUUCUCUACUCUAUUCUCUGCUGAGGUAAGUUCUAUUUAUUGUUUAUCCAAUAUCCAUUCUUCCCUUCUUUCUUAGUAACAGAGCUCUGACUUUAUUUGGGGUGGCAGUAAGCCCAGGUAAAAGACCACACUCCUAAGACUCCCUUGCUGAGUAUGGAUAAGUGACUCGAUUACAUUCAACCACACAAAAGCAUAAAUUGUUGGAUGGUACUUCCCAGAAAACUUCUUUAACAAGUGACUGGAGGAGCCAUCUUUGUCCUUUCCAACAUCCCCUGCCGCCACCUUCCUUCUACUUCCUGACUGGGAUUCAGACAAGAUAUCUAGAGCAUACCAGCCAUCUUUCUCUAUAGGAGAAGUAUGAGGAUCAAAGCCAGCAAUAAGGAUGGUGGGGUAAAAAGAAAGUAGAAUAACGUACAGUAGAAUAAAAUAAAAUAAAACAGGAGUCUAGAUCUAUUAUAACUGUGGAGUCACGAAAUGAGCCCCACCCCUUUUACACAAGAGAGAAGCAAACCUUUAUCUUGUUUAUGCAACUGUUGAGUAUUCUGUUUGUGCGAACAGAGCUAACCCUAACUGGUAUA